GACGGAAGGUGCAAGCGUUGCUCGGAAUCACUGGGCGUAAAGGGUGCGUAGGCGGCCGUGCAAGUCUGGCGUGAAAGCCCCGGGCUCAGCCCGGGAAGUGCGCUCGAAACUGCGCGGCUCGAGUGCCGGAGGGGAGAGUGGAAUUCCCGGUGUAGUGGUGAAAUGCGUAGAUAUCGGGAGGAACACCAGUGGCGAAGGCGACUACCUGGCCUGUUCUUGACGCUGAGGCGCGAAAGCUAGGGGAGCGAACAGG
rnacentral:rRNA from 1 species